UGUAUUUUAGUUUACAUAGUCUAAAUAAGUCAUUAACAGUGUGUUACAGUGAAAAUGUUUUUUGUUGACAUAUACUUCCGAAGGCAUGUAUUAGCUAAAUGAUGGUGGACGGUGGACUGAUGCCCUGUUGAGAAUGUGUUUAAUAUUUACAAAAGAAAAAAAAAAUCUUUUUUUGUGAGGUCAUGGUCAGAUUGAAGCUGAGAAAAUGUUGUAAUGCCUACAAAGUUUACCAGUUGUGGUAUCUUUGUUAACCUCGCCAUCAUCCAACUCUACAAAUGUAGGUCGAAGCAGUGAUAUCGUUUUAUUGUCAUCCUCCUUUUUUGGAGCCUGUCCACUAGCUAAUUGUAAGCUAAGCAUAAUUUAUCCAUCCUGACCUCCAGUGCAUCUGACCUGGAGCCAAGAUCUCUUAAAUGUAUGUGGAUGUCUUCCAUGACAAAUCAAGGAAGUGUACUGGUAGGGACUGGGAUGAAUAAAAUAUACUCAAAUACGAGUACCAAAUAUCCAAAAAAUUGCUGCC